AUUGAACGCUAGCGGCAUGCUUAACACAUGCAAGUCGAACGAGUGGCGGACGUGUGAGUAAUAUAUGUGAACGUGCCACAUGGAGGGGGAUAAAUACUCGAAAGAGUGGCAAAUACCGCAUAAGAUUGGAGACGCCGAGAUGGGAGUAUCUAGUGGGUGGGGUAAAGGCUCACCAAGGCAACGAUCCGUAGCUGGUUUGAGAGGACGACCAGCCACACGGGAACUGAGACACGGCCCAGACUCCUACGGGAGGCAGCAGUGGGGAAUUUUGGACAAUGGGCGAAACCCUGAUGCAGCCAUCCCGCGUGUAUGAGAAGGCCUUCGGGGUGUAAAGUACUUUUAGCAGAGAAGCGGUAUCUGCAGAAGAAGCACCGGCUAACUACGUGCCAGCAGCCGCGGUAAUUC
rnacentral:rRNA from 1 species